rnacentral:rRNA from 1 species
GACGAACGCUGGCGGCGUGCUUAACACAUGCAAGUCGAACGGUGAAGGGACUGGUUUUGCUGGUCCUGGAUGAGUGGCGAACGGGUGAGUAACACGUGAGUAACCUGCCCCCUUCUUCUGGAUAACCGCAUGAAAGUGUGGCUAAUACGGGAUAUUCUGGGUCUGUCGCAUGGUGGGCCUGGGAAAGAUUGCGCCUUUUUUGGUGUUUUUGGUGGGGGAUGGGCUCGCGGCCUUUCAGCUUGUUGGUGGUGUGCUGGUCUUCCAAGGGGGUGCGGGGUAGCCGGCCUGUGAGGGUUGACGGUCACGCUGGGACUGCGACACGGACCGGGCUCCUACGGGAGGCAGCAGUGGUGCAUAUUGCACAAUGGGCGCAAGCCUGAUGCAGCGACGCCGCGUGAUGGAUGGAGGCCUUCGGGUUGUGAACCUCUUUCGCCUGUGAAGCAGGCCUGCCUCUUUUUGUGGGUGGGUUGACGGUAGCUGGAUAAGAAGCGCCGGCUAACUACGUG